CAAAUUAAUUGCCCCCUGCAAAAGAGAUUUUUGCAGCGUACAUAGUAAAAGCCCCCUGCAAUAGACCUUUUAUUUUGCAGCGUACAUGGUAAAAGCCCCCUGCAAUAACAUAUUUGUAAUUUUUUUCGCUGCAACUUUAACUCAGACCAAACAUUUCUACCUCAAACCUCAUGACCAAUUUCGCAGCGAAUAUCCCACUCUCAUUACUCCCUUCUUCUUCUCUCGGCUUACCCUGCGUCUCGCCGGUGGUUCUCACCAGUGGUCGUCGCCGCGUGGUCUCGCCCGUCGUCGGUGGUACUCUAGCAAGAGUCUAUUUAAUUUCCUCACCUCUCACCGGUGGUUCCCUGCUCGAAAAACCCCCGCAAAAGGUAUUCCCUGCUCGAAAAAACAACCGGCGAAGUGAUUCCCUGCUCGGAAAACUAAGCUUCUUUGCUCGGCCGGUUCGCGAACCCUGUUCUCCGUCAAUCCUCGCUGCGGCAAGUAACUUUCUCCCCUGUCCCUUUUUAUUUUCGUUUUCAAAAUUAGGGUUUGUUCAUUUUUCAUUUUUGCAGAGAAAGCCAAAGAAAUUGUUGGCUGACAAGAUUAGGAGAAAAUACAUACGUUUAUCUCGGGUGGGUUAUGAUUUCUUUUGUUUUAAAUGAUGAAAUUUUGCAAAUUCUUGAAUCUUGAUCUUCGUAUGUAAUUUAAACAGAGAUAUAUCAAUUAAUUUGAUUUUCUUGAUGAGAAAAAUAUUGUAAUAAUCCCUGAUUAAGGAAAUAUAAUUCUGUUCAUGCUAGAAAAAUUCACUCAAAGAUAAAUGUUGAACAUCCGACUACCGUAAAAGUGAUGUAAAAUCGAAUGUUUCUGGUGGUUUCAUCUUGGUUAGUACCUCAAAUCAUGUUUUAGGCUCUUUCAUUAGGCAAAUGUGAAAAACUACUCCCUCCAUUCUUGAAUGUCAGUCCUUUUUUGAAUCUAAAGCAAUCCAAUUUAAGUAAUUUCAUGUUUCAUGUUUUAGGCCUUUUCAUUAGCCAAAUGUGACAAACUAUAUAUUAUUCUGAUGAAAUUAAUAUGCUUAUUUUGAGGUGUUUUCUUACUUGGUUCAUUUGGUGGAGUCACAGAGACUUCCUCCACCCUUUUGAAGGGCGCAUAUACCAGUAAAAAACCGUACUGUUAUAAUACUCGAGACAGAUACUGGAGAACAAUACGAAGCCAAUUAUCUGCCUCAAUAUCGUGGACUCAGUGGUGGGUGGAAAAGGUUUGCCAUAGUUCUGAAAUUGGAAGGAGAUACUGUUGUUUUUCAACUAGUUGAACCUGCCAAAUUUAAGUCUACCUCUUCUAGAAUCAAAUCACUAAACUAGUUGAAGCUGAGGAUAAAAGCUGCUAAUGAAGCUGAGGCGGCUUGCCAACGGCGUCUCUCUGUUGCUGAGGCUGAAAUAGCUGAUUUAAGAUCCAAAUUGGAUACUACUGAAAGCAUGGAAGGCAAGCAUUCGUUUCUGUGCCUAGCACUUUUCCUGUGCCUGGAGAAGAACUGAUGUUUUGAUGAUUGUAAGAGGGGCAAGGAGAAGCUUGUUUGUGAUGCUGCUCAAGUACUGCUUUAUUUCGGAGUUGAACAAAUCAUCUAUGUUUCUGAAAUGACGCACUGCUAAAUAAAGGUCUACACUCCGAGGAAUGCGCCUAUACUAGUGAGGAAAUUGAUGUGGUUCGUGAGCAACGGGCUAAGUGUUUUACCCGCAAGUAUUUACUAUUGGCUUGAGCGCGCUUGAUCGAGGUGGUUUAGUUGUUAUAGAACAAUCGUUUACAUUAAAAUGUAUGCGUACAUUGAAAUUGGAACGUAUAUUUGAAUGUAAUACGUGCACUU